UGGCAACGCCAACAGCGGCGGGAGGCCAGCCCAGCCGGCAAAGAGGCGCCCGCACCCCGGAUCCCAGCGCCGCCACGGCCCCUGGAGCGCAGACGCUGCCUCACGUCCUCUCAAGUCCGUGUCUUUAAAAACACAGUCUCCGCCUCCCUCCUGGAAAUGGAGAGCGGCUCGCACCUGUCACAAAUAGCAGGCGGGCGGCGAAAACACGCGGGAUGGAAACAAAACGUGGCUCUGACAAGUUCUGCAGAAGAGAUACCUGUUGAACAAUUUCCCAGAUGAGCGUGAACAUAAACUCUUUAUCCACAGCAGUUUCCUGGACACAAUUUUGGAGGCCUCUCAUCAUACCGCUGCCCUCUCUUGGUCUCCUCUUGUAUCCAGACUGCAACACGAGACAGAGAAAGGCCAAGAAAACUAACAAUGAAAUAAAAAUUAACAGUCACAAUUAUUAUUCCUACAAAAGCACAUUUAUUGGCUUAUGUAUCUGGAAAGUCCAAACUGUCUGCUUUCAGGCAUGGCUGGAUCCAGGAGCUGGAAUGAUGCUAUCGAUGCUCCUUUAAACACACGUGCCUUUACUGUUGACAUAUAAAUUUGCAAAAAUGUAUGUAACUCGA